UAGGUUGAAUUAAGAGCUGGCUGAAAUUGUACUGAGCUCUCUAAAAUCUCACAGCUACAAGACAUUUUUUACACGCUAAUUAUUACACUAACAUUCUACCAAUAUCAGAAGGCCUAGAGUUCUUCACGAGCAGCCGCGGCACCGAAGUGAUCCUCAACGGUUUCUGAUUCACCUUCCACCACAGCUAUGGAAUCAAAAAGAUGGCGAUGCUCUAAAUAGAGCUACAGAAAAACAGCUAAAUUUAUAGAACCGUAAUAAACUUCGACCUGUGUAUUUUUUGCUUACUGGACCCGGGUACGUCAUGAAACUACGUCCAAAAGAGAGGUAUGGACAUUGUGAAUGUCAUCUCGCUUUGUGUGGUAGGGCACAGCACAGAGAAUGUCAUUUCAGAUCUAAAUCAGAGCCCAACUGGGGCAGUACCUCCACCUUACAAAAAACCACAGCCAAAUAACACUAGACCCUACUCAUAGUGAUGUGUUCCUGCCGGUGAGUAAGGUUACCAGAGCUUAACAAGGGUGCGGAGUGUUAGGGUCGGCAAUGCGCAUGUAAAUCCUCUGGAGUUGCAGGCGUACAUAGGCUACGGAGACUGCUUACAAUCAGUUGGGCCGUAUGCUUGUUUGCCACCGACAUAUUAUUAAAAAAAAGAAUGAGGUAAAAUAUUUAAUUUGCCUGGCGAACCUUAAAAAUAACCUUACACUACAACAAAACUGUCAAACGAAACUUAAACAUAUUAAGAAAUGCACAUGCCGUGUUCACUAAUAUCCCACCUUGUUUCAGAAGGAGUCCAAUUUUUUAAGACCCUCGGAGGAAAAGAGGUUUUACUCCACAAUGGCUUCAAAUUCACGUAUCAUCGUAAUAUCAACUGUGGAAAACGGUGGAGAUGCUCCAGGGAAUGCUUAGGCUGUAAAGCAGUAGUAUUUACGACUGUUAAUAAUUAUAUCUUAGUGUUUAAGAACGAUCAUAACCACCCACCACAAAAUAAGGCUUUUUUAAACAUGUGCAGAGAUAUCUAGUAUUUUUAACCAACUUCAAUAUUCCAAAAGAAUGAUGACAUCAAUUUUGUGUAAUCCUGUAUUUUCAAUGCAGUUGUGUCGUAAAACCGGAAAUCAGAUCUGGGCACCCUUGAUGGGAUGGUGAUGACCUGGACGUGUACCUUAACGGCUGGCUGAAGAUUACUCAAUAUCGAGACGGAUAGACGUUGAGGGUGGAGGCCUUUGUCCAGCAGUGGGUUACCAAUGAUACCAUGUAACCUAUUAAUAAUAAUAUAUCUGUGAGCUUCUCCUCAAAGACAUGACCAUUUGCCAGCAAGUUCGGCGAAACAGAGGGCCCUCUCGGCCGCUAAGGUUGACUAUAAGAAGGCCUGUGAUUUGGUGUCUCACACAUGGCUGAGAAACGUAUUGGAGCGGUAUAAACUUAAUGCAGCUUUAAUAAUUUCCUUCCUAACCGCAUGUAUGAAGUAGUGGACCACAGUCCUUGGUCAACCAGUAGGCGGGGAUGACCUGCAGGAUUUUUUAAGGAUCGAGCGACGAAUAUUUCAGGGUGAGAGUCUGAGUCCCCUGUGGUUCUACCUAGCUCUGAAUCUCCUUAGUACCCUGCUGAAGGAUUCAGGGUUAGGUUGUCGGCUUCAGAGAGAGGGUGAGGUAAUUUCUCACCAUCUGUACAUGGACGACCUCAAACACCAAAUAACCAAGUUUUGGAGGUGCUAUUUGUUGGUGGUAUUGAAAACCAAAGAAAUGUUCUUGUAAAGCCAUCAAAAUGGAGUUUGGUGUCGAUAAGAGUGCGAUUAUGCAUAUACAGUGGUGGAAAAUAGAUUUUUUUUUUCAGUUUUAGUCAAGAUCAACAAAUUUACAACUUUCUGAGACAGUAUCGUUCAGAUCGAUGUCUGAAUCAGAAACCUACAAUCGUGCUAAUAGAUUGAUCGCAGCGCCGGGCCGUGCUCGUCAACUUGACCAUCCCCCAUGAUGAGAAUAUUGCGAAAGCUGAGAAAGAUAAGUACAGUAAAUACCUAGACUUUGCUCACGAGAUAACCGCCAUGACUAUGGGAUGUUGAUUCGACGAUCAUUGUUUCGAUAGCCGUUUCAGCGAACGGUCCCAUAGCAAAGUGUCUCAACCAACACCUUGAUGGACUCUCGCUACGUGGCUGGCUCAAGGGUCAGAUGCAAAAGUCGGACACAGCACGGAUAGUCCGGCGGUUCCUCUCUCUGCGGCCCUAACCACCGGCAGUUUGGGCCCUGCCCUGCUGCUGGCGGUGCCCCUAGUAUAGGUUAUUUGUGUGUUUAUUUGUACUGAUUUUGUAUUAUAAUUUUAUUUUCAUAUUGUAAAAAACCUAAUCUGAGACAUUAAACGAAUAAAGACGAUAAUAAUAUAAUAUACUUAAUGUUUGUUACUUCAGCAGUGGCAGCAUGUUUCCAUUUUUAUCGCUUGUCACUAUGCCCGUCACUUUCGCACUUACAUACUUGUUAGACCGUGACAGGCAUGGUGACAAAUGAUACAGAGCCGACCAUCUUAGCCCUAAAGAAUCCCGUUAUUUCUCAAUAGAUUUGUUUGUAAGAAUAUACAUCAGAUUGAUCCCAUUUUUCCCAUUUAGCAGGAUAUACGAAAGUACUCCUUAAAUUGGGAUUUUCGUAUGUAAUGAAUCAUUUAUUCUACAUUAUAAAACUGGCAUUUAAUGAAAUGGUACUGCAUAUGGAGACCAGAAUGAAACACUUCAACGACAGGUAUACAUAUUUGGGAAUUUGUCUUCGUUUUGUUCAGCAAGUUAGGUUUUUAAUCAAAAUUUUUGACAAAUUCGACUUUUGAUGAUGGGUUGGUUCCCUGUGGGAUUGCGAAAACUCCUCAAAGGAUUUUUUUAAGCAUCAUCUAUAAAAGAAGCGUUUCAAUUUUAACAGUGCUUUUUGAUGAAAUGAAAUCGCUGAGGAAGGUCAGAAUAGAACUCCUCCACGACAAGUAUUUUACGUGUUAAUGCUGGGUAAUUGUUAUUGUCAUAAUUUUAAUGGUAUUAAAUCUCAGAUUUAUAACCUCAUAUUUAUUGUUUUGUGAAUUCGGUUUUUUUCUCGCUUCGUCAAGGCAAUACCUACUACGAGUAUUUCGGGUGAUGCGUAUCAACUGUAUCGUACACAUGCUCACUAACAUCCUUCCAACUUUCAGAUAUACAGUUCCUCAAAACCACGAAAGGCCGCGACGUAUUGCUCUACAACGGAUUCAAAUUUUCGUACUAUCGCACUGAGGCCACUGAGAGCAGUCCCAACGAAGUCAAGAAAAGAUGGCGAUGCUCCAAGCAGGGUUACAAUGCCUGCAGCGCCGUGGUUUUUACGACUCUAUAAUCAUCGAAGACAUGAAGAACAAGCGUUACGUCCUUCUCAACGGCUUCAGAUUCAGCUUACAUACCAAUAACAACGUAGGCCAGAGAUGGCGCUGCGUUCGCCACUGGGACGGCUGUCAUGCCUUCUGCUACGUUGAUGACGACGUCCUUGUAAAGGCCACGACACACCACAAUCAUAGCGCGGGAGAAGGAAAAAGGCAUAAGAAAAUUACCCCUUACAAAACACGAAUUCUACGAAACAAAUUGAAUUCUGGUCUAGAAAGGAAUGAAUUAUAAGAAGACAACUUUCAAACCCACUACUUACUAGCGCGGCACCAUUAUUUAUGUAUUUACUUUUAUCGCUCACUAAUUUAAUUUGUAAUGGAUUGUUGUUUUUUCUCAUAUAAGUGACUAAUUGUUAUUAUUUUGAGAAAUAAAUCUUUAAACGGAAACCUGUGGUACAUUUAUAUCAGUGCCUGUGAUAGUUAAAAUUGACGAACAACAUUAAAGUAGUCUAAUGUUUUACUACUCAUCAAUACCUUGAUUUGUCAUAACCAUGGCACACUUGGCGCAAACAUAUAAAAGAAUCUCAAUAAUAUAUAUGAAGCCGUACAAGAAAGUUUUAUUACAAUGUAAGAAAAAUGCAAAGUCUUGAAAAAACAUGAAGUAAACUGCUAAUAAUACUAUCUUGUUCCAUAACGAUAAUGUAACACACCAAUACCCACCCACACACCAAUACACCCACAUUCCUAUUUUCCUAGCCAACCUCAUCAACCAAAAACCAAGAAAAAAUUUGGCAGAACAGACUUUAAAUUUUCUUUUCUUUCACGUAAACUACAAAAAAAAAUUGUUAACUGCUUCAUUGAAUAUGUUAUUCGUUGAAUAUGUAAUGGAGGCCCACGUUAAUGUAACAUGUUUUUAUUUUUAUUUAAUAGUCAGUACGGAUAUGAUGGUCGUUCUUGUCUACGUGACAGCGUGAUAAAACGGUGUCCGUCACUUGCAUUGCAGUUCCGCAGUGUUAAAAAGUGACAGGUAUCAAUAUACCUUUUACGUUAUUACGUUUAACGAUAUUUCAAACUACCUAUAAUAUAUGAAAUGUAAUUAUAUAAAAUUCAGUGCACGUAUACAUAAUGUACCUAUAUAUGAUAUACUCGUAUGUAGAGUACGUAUAUGUAUUGUAAAUAGGAUAAGAUAAAUUUUAAAAAUGCAUAUUUGACGACCUAACUCGCCUAGUGGGUAGUGACCCUGCCUAUGAAGCCGAUGGUAUGGAAGGCUAUAUUAUAUAUAUUAAGUAUGUCGUUACCCUUAGUACUUAGUACCCACAACACAAGCCUUUUUGAGCUUACUGUGGGCUUAGUCAAUACAAUUUGUGUAAGGAUGUGCUGUAAUAUUCAAUGAUUUAUGUUCGUUAGAUAAUUUGUUAAAAAGGGAAGGGAAUACUUUUAAACAUUUUAUGCAAUUUUUGCAUUUUAUGCAAGAGUAGGUACUGGUGGCCUAGCAGUAAGAGCAUGUGACAGGUCGCGGGUUCAAACCCCGGUCGUACCAAUGAGUUUUUCGGAACUUACCUAUGUACCAAUUAUUAUUUGAUAUUUACCAGUCGCUUUUCGGUGAAGGAAAACAUCGUGAGGAAACCGGAUUAAUCUCAACAAGGCCUAGUUUACCCUCUGGGUUGGAAGAUCAAAUGGCAGUCGUUUUCGUAAAAACUGCAUACGCCAAAUAUUCGGAUUAGUUGUCAAGCGGACCCCAGGCUACGAGGCUAGACGACGCGAGGAACAAGAAGAAGAUUUUAUGCAAUUUUUGUUAUAUAAUGUUUAUUUUUUACUUUUGUUUUAUUCUUUUAAUACCUACACAUACACACACACGCACAUAAAUUAUAUAAUACACUUAUUUUACAAAAGCUACUUUUUUCUAAAAAUAAGUUACUAAAGAUUAUAUGGCUUUUAUUAAAUGUGUCGAAGUGUAGUCAAAGGUCCCACUUUGUCGCUUACCAUAAGGACGAGAUUUGCUUGUAGCUUUAUACAUAUAACCUGUGAAAGCGUCCUUAUGGCAAGCGACAAAGUGGGACUUUUUGCUUGGAAACGAAACAUAUUUCUAGAAAGCUAUGUGAGAGGACUGUUUAAGGUCAGGAAAAUGCUAGAACUUAUAAUGAAUUGUAUGGCUUCCAGGAGAAGUGGAGUGCGUGUAUCAGCGGCGCGGGCGCCUGUUUUCUUUCCACGACCUUGAAAUUGUGCUGCACCAGUGCUCCAGUGAUUAACCUGCUCCGUUAAGAACCGCUGGCUGUUGGGCCUGAAAGAUUCUCAGCGAUCACGUACUGAUGACAACUGUUGAAUGAAAAGAGCAUGCGACUGGAGAUUACCUUUGACCAGGAGUGAACAUGUACCAGCGGUUUGAUGAUUGUUUUUAUUGUGUUCACCUGCGGCGUCUAUGUGAAUGCCACAAAAGUCAAUGUUUUAAGCUACACAAUAAGAGAUUGCUUGUAUCAUGGUUUACUAUCAUUAAAAUAAUCUAUGUACUCAUCAUACAAGUUGCGAAGUUUUACGGGUUUGUUUUUAAUUUAGAAAAGAACAUUUUAGUGGAUAGUGUUUUUAUAUCAAUCCUGAACAUCACUUUAGUUGUAGUUGGUAAUUUAUUAGUAACAGAUAUUGUCAACCGCUGAGCGCUGUAAAAUCUUUAUUUGCCACGAUAAUUAAUAAAAAAUAUUGUUAUUAAUUUCGAAAAGAAUUGGGAUAGUUGCCAUAAAAAAAUUUUGCAAUGAUCAGAGACCGUCUAUAGAUUAGGUUAGAUUAGGAAUUCCAUAUUAUUUUCACUUAAAAAUGGUACAAAUUAACAAAAAGAUCAACAAUUGUAUACCAAAUAUAAAAUUCUUGUUUGAAAUUAGAGGUUUAGAAAAUGAAACGUAUACAUUCAUAGCAUAACGUGGGAGGUAGACGUUAUGCUAUGUAUACGUAAGUAUACACAACAAAAUGCUGUCAAUUCAAAUGAGCAAGAUUGACCAUUGAAUUACAAAACUGGAGGCGAGGCGUUACUUAUUGCCUUAAUGGCGACAAUAAUUAUUUAGACGAGUAAAUGAUAUCAUAAGGUUUCAAAUAAAAGAUACAAAAUAUGAUAUUGUUAAGAAUACAACAAUAUUAAUAAUUGUACGUCGAGAAAUGUACAAUGUUACAGUACUGUCAUUUAAGUGAACAUGAACUAGUGUUGUGAUAUGACCACAAGAUCGAUGUCAUGUCGUGACUUGGACUAGCUACUUGCCACGAUAACUAGGUAUAUAUUAUAUGCUACUAUAAGUACCAAUUUUAAGAGAAGGAAAUGUGAAUAUAAUUGUAUGUUAAUAAAUAUUAAAUUUUUAGCUCAAGUAAAAUGCAGGCAUAGAUUUUCGAUAUUAUACCAUUUAUAGUCCUCCUCAUCGAUUUCGAUGACGGCGAUCUUAGCAAUUACGGAUUACGCCGAUUAAGUAUGGGCCCUAAUGUGGCUGGCCAGGCCGAACUUGGUCUUACAGACUCGACUCUGUCAUAUUUGUUUACAUUAUUUGCAAUUUCUAUUCAACUUCACUUUAUUCUGCUAUGUUUAUAUUUUACUUAUAUACAUAUAUGAUAAAUGCAAGGAGGUAUUUACCUUGUCAAUAACUUUUAAGGGUAAGAAAAAAUGGUCGUGCAUGUAGAGGAUUUUUUGAACAUAUGGUUCAUACUAGAACAUUUUGUUAUAAAGUGACAUAAAUGUACAGUCAGCAGCUAAAGUAAUCAGGCAGAAUGAUGCGUUCUUAAUAACCUGCACACAACCUACACAAGUUGUGUUAAGUUCAUUCUGCUACUGACUUAUAUGCCAGAAGUUGAACUGUUUUAGGAUUAUUAAGAUUUUUCCUAGUCUACAAUUUAAUAAUUGCUUAUUUAUAUCGCUUGCGUUAAUCGAAUGCUUCCGAGCUUUGAGCUCUAUUUGUAAGGCCACAAAGUGCCAUAUUCUAUAAGACUACGCGGUGCAGUAGGUACCGCUUUAUCAACCCAAUACAAAAUGUUCCUUUUUUAUUAAUAGUGUUGCUUUUGUUGUGUGAUAUAUUUAAAAGACAUAUUAUUAACUGUUUGUUAAAUAGCGGUUUUGGUGACAGAUUGUUUGUUUUUCAUUAAAUUAGAAUGAUUCGAUGUGCUCA